AGCGAACGCUAGCGGCGGGCCUAACACAUGCAAGUCGAGCGCAUACCUUCGGGUAUGAGCGGCGGACGGGUGAGUAACACGUAGGUAAUCUACCCUUUGGUGGGGAAUAACCCGGGGGAAACUCGGGCUAAUGCCGCACGAGGUCUACGGAUCAAAGCCUUCGGGCGCCAGAGGAUGAGCCUGCGUUGCAUUACCUAGUUGGCGGGGUAACGGCCCACCAAGGGGACGAUGCAUAGCUGGUCUGAGAGGAUGAUCAGCCACACUGGGACUGAGACACGGCCCAGACUCCUACGGGAGGCAGCAGUGGGGAAUAUUGCGCAAUGGGGGAAACCCUGACGCAGCUACGCCGCGUGGGUGAUGAAGGCCUCGG
rnacentral:rRNA from 1 species